CUUUUAACGAUAGUCGUAUUUUUAUCGUUUUGCUGAACAUGGUUACGGGCUACGAUAAGAAUACCACGUCGAUAUCGUAUAAAGUUAUCCACUAUCAUUCGUAAGUGACCACGAUUGUCUAUGCCUAGAGUUUAUGAAAAAUCCAUUUAAUGCCUGGCUUUAUUAAAAUGUCGGACGUGUGUCGGACGAUGUUUGAAAACGAAUAGUUAGUUUUAUUACUACACUUCCAAAUUGAAAAAUGUUUAAAUGAGUGACAGCUUUAUACAAAUUGACUUACAUUAUAACAUGCACGGAUAAUCGUGUUUUCUCAACUGACAAUUCACUUGACAUUGACAAGCAUCGCGUACGCGCAUGAUUCAGUGAAUUUAGUGAAAAUACAAACCAAGUCGAAGAAAAAUACUGAUUUGCUGUGUAAACUAAAGGAAAUGCCACCCAAAAUUCGAUGCUUCGGCGCACAAGAAAAUGCUAGCCAAAUAUAUAACUCAGCAUCCCCUGUUCGCCUACACCUACAGGGAGAUUCAUGAGCCUCUCGGAACCCAGAGAUACAAAAUGCAAUGGUGCAGCAUGUGCACACAAGUUCUAAGAUCUAGAAGAAAGGAUUGAAGAUUCAUAACAUAUUGGAGGCUUGAAAGUGCACAUACCCAUAGAUUGGACGUUAAGCUCAACGAGACCAUGCGAUGCAUCUCAGGCACCAUCCGAUCUACAACCGCCACUGGCUGCCGGCAUUGAGUCACAUUGCCCCUCCUCACAUCCGACGACUCAAGGCGUUGAAGAGGGAGGCUGAGAAUAUCACGAAUAACCCCACAAUGCCUGUCCACGAGGAAUUCUGCCGCCCGACUGCCCGCCGACCCUGUGCUACAGCUGGGAGCCUGAGCAGCUUUAAUAUUUCGGAUAGGUGGAUAGCGGAAUGGUCAGCUUCGGCAGCUCGGAGUUGCUGUAUAUCUGACCCAACUAAAAAACCAAAAGGGUUUGACCUUCCUCGGAAAAUCUGGUGCCGCCUGAGAACCGGACAUGGCCGCUGCAAUUCAGCCACACAAAUGGAGAUAGACGGCUUUCCCACUUUGCGAAUGCAGAAUGCAGACCACUUAGCAUAUCUUCCAACGCUGCCCACUCCACUCCUCCUCCACUCCUGGGCCUGUUGAGGACCUGAAGACCGUGACACCUGACUUGGUUGCUUGGCUUGGCAACCUCAAGGCUACACUCUGAAUGCCCUCAUCAGUUUAUGAUAUGAAAUGAAAUCACUUUAUUGGAGCAUUCCACGAGCUGUCCCGUACAAACGCAUUUUAUUUCCUGUGUUGCGACUUUUUUUUUCGCCAUUUAAAGCAAGCGAUUAAUUUUCCGUGCAUGUUUGACCAUUUGUCAUAGAAAAGGAAACUCUUAUACCUGCAAAUCUCCAGAAAAUCUGCAUUUCUACGGGACAAACGGUAGACAAUUGCAUGGAAUGCUCCAUUGCCAAAACAUGAUAAGUUGAUGGUAGAAAAAAUAUUAGGAAUACAAACCAUAUACCUACAUAUAAAUUCUAUGUUAAGUAUGUACUAAGUUAUUCUAGGUUAAGUACUAACUUAUUGUCUACUCUAUACAUAGGUAAUUACAUUUAGCAAGACAUGUUGGCCGUGGGUACCAAGCUCAGCAUGUGCUAGACUAGCGUCCAGCGCUGGUUUUCAGUUUGGCCCCUUUUUGUUGGAGGUCUGAGAGGAAUGUUGAUCUUUUCUGCGCCGUUAAGCAUUCUAUUUAUAUUGGAAACGAAACUUAUAGAUGAGCAGUUAUGAAAUAGCAAUAAUACAAUAAUAUGGAUAUCAAAUAAAAGCUAGUGAGAAGACCAUUCCAAAAAUAUAUAUAUGUGUCAUACCUAUCCACAAAUAAAACAACAAACAACCUUUUCAGUUCAUUAGUAUUAUCAUUAAGCGUUUUACAACGUAAGUUAGGCCGUCGAAUCAGACAGAAUGGUAAGGGCCCCCGCUCA